CAGUAGCCGCGGGAAUACGGAGGGGGCUAGCGUUGUUCGGAAUUACUGGGCGUAAAGCGCACGUAGGCGGCUUUUUAAGUCAGAGGUGAAAGCCCGGAGCUCAACUCCGGAACUGCCUUUGAGACUGGAAGGCUUGAACGUCGGAGAGGUGAGUGGAAUUCCGAGUGUAGAGGUGAAAUUCGUAGAUAUUCGGAAGAACACCAGUGGCGAAGGCGGCUCACUGGACGACUGUUGACGCUGAGGUGCGAAAGCGUGGGGAGCAAACAGGAUUAGAGACCCCCGUAGUCCCUGUCUCUUAUAC
rnacentral:rRNA from 1 species